GUGGUCCCUAAUACGGGCUACUAAUGACGGUACCUGAAGAAGAAGCACCGGCUAACUACGUGCCAGCAGCCGCGGUAAUACGUAGGGUGCGAGCGUUAAUCGGAAUUACUGGGCGUAAAGCGUGCGCAGGCGGUUAUAUAAGACAGAUGUGAAAUCCCCGGGCUUAACCUGGGAACUGCGUUUGUGACUGUAUAACUCGAGUGUGGCAGAGGGGGGUGGAAUUCCACGUGUAGCAGUGAAAUGCGUAGAGAUGUGGAGGAACACCGAUGGCGAAGGCAGCCCCCUGGGUCAACACUGACGCUCAUGCACGAAAGCGUGGGGAGCAAACAGGAUUAGAUACCCUGGUAGUCCACGCCCUAAACGAUGCGAACUAGGUGUUGGGGAAGGAGACUUUCUUAGUACCGCAGCUAACGCGUGAAGUUCGCCGCCUGGGGAGUACGGUCGCAAGAUU
rnacentral:rRNA from 1 species